rnacentral:pre_miRNA from 1 species
CAUCUUACCAGACAGCAUUAGAUUGAGCCUGAUUUCUAAUACUGUCAGGUAAAGAUGUC